UGGGAGCUGCAGCUGCCGGCCUACACCACAGCCAUAGCAAUGUAGGAUCCGAGCCCUGACGGAGAUCUACACUGCAGCACGUGGCAAUGUCAGAUCCUUAACCCCCUGAGCCAGGCCAGGGAUUGAAACUGCAUCCUCAUGCAGGUUCAUUACUGCUGAGCCACAGCGGGAACUCCCAUGGAAUUUUGAAUUUCCUUAUAAAGUUUUAGAAAGCAGAACUGUGGAGUUCCCUGGUGGCCUAUGCGUUAAGGAUCCAGCAUUACCACUGCUGUGGUGCAGGUUGUAUCCUGGGCCCUGGGGAACUUCUUCAUGCCAUGGGUGCACCCCCCUCCCCCCCAAAAAGGGCAGAAUUGUAUAAAAAGGAAGCCGGGUCCUCUGGGAGGAAAGGAAGGAUUGUCCUAACCUGAUGGGUCCUUUUGAGGUGCUUGUUCCCUGCUGAUUCAGAGAGUCAGACCUGCCUUUCCCCACGUGGUCACCAAAUCCGCUCUUUUCACUCCCUUGUUUUCUUCUUAUGGGGAGAGAUUUCUCCACGUUUACAGAUGAGAAACUGAGACGUUAGAGAAGCUGCGGAGGAUCGCACAGCCCGUGAGUGAAGAUUCUGAUCCAAGACUUUCACUCCUAAGGCCAACCUUUUUUUUUUUUUUUUUUUUCCCAGCUGCCUUAAGGAAAAGUAAGGGCUGAUGUUCCCCUUGGGGGGGGGUAUGGGGGUGGGGGCAGUAGGAAGGAAUGAGCGCAGGAGGGUGGGGGGCCCAGGAGGGGUGGAGAGAAGGAACCAGCCUCCGUCCACCCCUUCCCAUCCGCCCCACAACAUACGCAGAGGCGCUGAGCUCUGGUGUGCCUGCCCGGAGGGAGUUUGCACACCUGAAACUCACAUCCAGGAAUAGCUUCCAAGUCUGAAAUCUCAUUUCCUGAGACCAGCCUGGCUCUCUUCACAGAUGGCCCCCGUUUGUCAGGGUCCCCUGUUAUCGGCCACAGGGAUUUACUCAGUCCUCUCCUGUCUUUUCUUGUCCAGGGCUUCAAGAACUCUUAACAGACACAUUCUAAGAAGAAACAAACAAAAACCCCCAAAAUCCCCCCCAAACCUACCUUUUUCUUGCCCCCCAUUUUAUGAUUUUUGAAGUCCUCUUUUACCUCUUUGUGUUUACCCUUUUGCUGUUCAUUGUCGUUAUCAACUAUGCUUCCAUAAAAAAGGAACUCUUCACAGAUAUGCCUAUUCUCUCAUCCAGAAGUUUCCAAAAUAGUACUCAUUUGACUUUUGCCAAGAAAAAGUGAUUAUUUUUCAUCUACCCACAUAGUUUUCAAAACUACUCUUCACACAGCUCUUUAGGUUUUGCUGAAGUUUUGCUUAAUCCCAUUACAGCGCUGAAAACCUAGAAGACGGUCCCAGCAAAACUUUAAGCUGCAGGUUCAAAGCCAAGGGCAAUGGAUUGUUCUGAGGGAACUGGCACUGCUUGCUCUUUUUCCCUCCAGCAUCACAACUAUCUGUCAGGUCCUGUUUGCGUUCAAAAGGUCGCCGAGCUUAUAAAAGAAGAAACGUGAAAAGUCUUGCUUUAAUCACGGCGGUAAUUAGCAAAUUUGGACACCGCAUUAUCUUUCCCUUUUUAUUGGAGGCACGUUCAAGAACGGGCUUGAAGCUUAUCCCGAGCAGCUCAGAAAACUGAACCGCGUCCUCGUAAAAACAGGGUACUCAUCCAGUUCCCCGGGGGGCCUGAGUUGCUGGAAUAUUCCUUCAGAAGCACAGGUAACCCCCCUCCGAACUAAGCAUUGAAAUCCACAGAUGGUAAUUUCUGGAAUAACUUGGUUGACUUUGCAGAGGAAAGGGAAUGGGUGAGUCACACUUAGAACAGGGAGCCGGGGAAAGGAAACGUGUGCUGCUCACACGUUUAGACGGAGCAGGCGUCCUGCAGGCGUCUGAGACUCUGAUUUGCCAGCCACGUGAUCAUCGCUCGUUCCUCUGACUUUUGAUCUAGAGGGUGAGCCGGGAAGCAGCAUCCAAGGUCCCUCCACCAUCUUUUCCUGUUGGCCCUUCAGCCUCGGCCGCCUCACUCCGUCAUCUCCCGAACACGCUUCUGUUCUCUGCUGAGUCAAGCUGGGAGACGGCGUAAUGGGGGCUUCAGAAGGUUCCAUCGGAUCAGAAGUCUCUCUGGCCUUCGAGCUGCUUCUCUGAUGAUCGAUUCUCUUUCCCCACCCCCAGUUCUGUCCUCCAGGGUCUUCCUCCCAGCCUCUCUCACUUCCCUCUUCUCUCCCGGCGUCCUCCCCCCACCCCCACCCCGAUCACUCCUGGUCCCCUGUCUUUACCUGCCGCUCACCAAGAGCACCGCCUCAGAGAUUCCACCUGAGUCACGUCUCCAGGGACACCGCCCCUAGAGCAGCUUAGAACGAACUUGAACAAAACAUAACCCCCCUUCUCCCUACAUGCAGCUGCCUCUGAUUUUGGCUUCGGAACAAAUGGUACCUUCCUUCUCCCCACUGUGGGAGCCCAGAGGCCCUCCCUGCUCGGAUCUUCUUGCAUCUUCCUUUCCUUCUCUGCUGCCCCUGCUCUGCUCCAGCUCCCAAUUCCCUUCUCACAGCUUCCCAAAAUACCCUUCUGACUAGUCCCUGUUGGACUGAUUUUUUGUUCGUUUGUUUCUUUUUAAGGCGACGCCCAUGGCAUAUGGAAGUUCCCAGGCCCCGGGGGCCAAUAAGAACCUCAGCUGCCAGCCACAGCCAUAGCCACAGCCACAGCCACAGCCACAGCAACUCGGGUCCGAGCUGCAUCUAUGACCUACACCACAGCUCAUGGCAACGCCAGGACCUUAACCCACUGAUGAGCUGUGGUGUAGGUUGCAGACGCGGCUCGGAUCCCACGUUGCUGUGGCUCUGGCGUAGGCUGGAAGCUACAACUCCAGUUUGACCCUUAGCCUGGGAAUCUCCAUAUGCCACAGGAGCAGCCCAAGAAAUGGCAAAAAGACCAAAAAAAAAGCCCAGGCUCAUCCCUGCUGAAGGCUGUGACCCUCAGCACGUCUCUGAACCUCAGCUCCCUGCUUUCCUUAUCUCUAAAACUAGGCUCAUAAGAAAGCCUACUGGAUAGGCAGUGGUUGUGAGGAUUAAGAAGCACCUAUAACAAGGAGUUCCCAUUGCGGCUCAGGGUAAUGAACCCAAUUAGGAUCCAUGAGGAUGCGGGUUCUAUCCCUGGUCCUGCUCAGUGGGUUAAGUAUCUAGUGUUGGCAUGAGCCAUAGGAUAGUUUGCCCAUGUGGCUUAGAUCUGGCAUUGCUUGGCUGUGGCACAGGCCAGCAGCUGUAGUUCUGAUUCGACCCCUUAGCCUGGGAACUUCCAUAUGCCGCAGGUGCAGCCCUAAAAAAAACAGCGCCUAGAAUGACCUGGCCAAUGGUGAGCACUCAGCAGUGUCUGCCCUCAUCAGCAUCACCGAGGUUCCUGUCGUCUCUUCCCUGCUCCUUCCCUGUGGGAUUCAACCCCUUUGCACACCACGAGCCGCCCCACACUUCCCCGUGGGUGCCCCUUUGUGCCUGCCUUUCCCCCAACCUCUGAUGGCUUCUUCUCCUCCUCCAGACUUUUGAAGUCCUCUCCGCUCUCUGAUUUGAGGCUCUCUCAAAUGCCCAGUGGCUUCCUCCCCCACUGUCCCAAACGGAGCUGGUUUUUCCCUCUUUGACGGUCCUCAGCCCUUCGUUAAAGCCUCGAGUGACUGCCAUUACGUCCUGCCUGGCACCAGAGACAUUAGUGGGCUUCGAGUUUUUGUUUUUUUUUUUUAAACUAUUUCUCCAGCCUUGGAAUGUCGGUUUCUUGAGAUCAAAGACUAAGUCUUCUCCGCUUGCAUCUUCUUUUUUUUUUUUUUUU
rnacentral:lncRNA from 1 species